rnacentral:rRNA from 1 species
AUACGGAGGGUGCAAGCGUUAUCCGGAAUCAUUGGGUUUAAAGGGUCCGUAGGCGGGCAAAUAAGUCAGAGGUGAAAUCCCACAGCUCAACUGUGGAACUGCCUUUGAUACUGUUUGUCUUGAGUUAUAGUGAAGUAGAUAGAAUAUGUAGUGUAGCGGUGAAAUGCAUAGAUAUUACAUAGAAUACCGAUUGCGAAGGCAGUCUACUAACUAUUGACUGACGCUAAUGGACGAAAGCGUGGGGAGCGAACAGGAUUAGAAACCCCAGUAGUCC